GGGCCCCUCUUAUUGUUUUUUAGGGCCCCCACCCACCGCUCAGGGGUGGGGGCCAGAAGGGGAGGACAGUAGGUCCCCUCCUUAUUGUUUUUAGGGCCCCCUCCCACUGCUGAGGGGUGGGGGCCAAGGGGGGAGGACAGU